UCCUUGGUGGCCCAGUGGUUAAGACUUGGCACUUUCACUGCCAAGGACACAGGUUCAAUCCCUGGUCAGGGAA